UCCUCUUUACAGAGGCAGUUUGUUUCGAGUUCCCGGCUUUACCCGCUGGCAACAAAACAUGAGGGUUGCGCUCGUUGCGGGACUUAACCCAACAUUUCACAACACGAGCUGACGACAGCCAUGCACCACCUGUGAAGCACCUUCGAAAGCGACUCGCUUUCACGAGCUUGCAGCUCCAUGUCAAGCCCUGGUAAGGUUCUUCGCGUUGCAUCGAAUUAAGCCACAUGCUCCACCGCUUGUGCGGGCCCCCGCCAAUUCCUUUGAGUUUCAACCUUGCGGCCGUAGUCCCCAGGCGGUUCACUUAAUGCGUUAGCUGCGGCACCGAAGGAGUCCCCCCGACACCUAGUGAACAUCGUUUAUGGCCAAGACUAC
rnacentral:misc_RNA from 1 species